rnacentral:lncRNA from 1 species
CUUCAGCUUUUUGCACUGCCAAGACCAUGUUCAUGUUCUCCUGAGAACCUAACAACUCAUAGGACAUCUUGCCAGGAUUGCCAAAUUAUCACCUGAUAUCUUGAAUAGUGCUUUUAAUCUGCAGCAUACUUUACUUAUUAGCUGGUGGAAGGGUGGUAAGUCCAUGGAGGAAAUUACCCUGAGCUUCAGAAAAUAAGUUUCUUGCACCAGAUGUAAGAAUGUUGAGACAUAUGGAAAACAAAAUCAGCUACAGCAAGAAUGAGCUACCAGUCAUAAUUUUGUCACUAUGGAUGCAACUGCAGAGAAACACAUGCACGUUCUGACAGCUGCUCUGUUCCACAAGGAUUAAAACAGCAGGAAGACUGGCAAUGUGAAAGAGAGAAAACAGAG